rnacentral:lncRNA from 1 species
UAUAUAUAUAUAUAUAUAUAUAUAUAGAAUUGAGCUCCUAUACUUUUAAAAGUACCAAGUCAUUGGUACUUGUAAGUUUUCGGUCCUUAGAUUAAGAAAUAUGCGAUUAGGAUGAUGUGGGUUCCCUAGGGUUGAGUGGAUAGUUGGUUUAAUAGUAUAAUCUAACGGUUGAAAAUGAUUAAAGACGUAGAUCUAACGGUAAAAAACUUACAAGUACCAAGUGCUUGGUGCUUUUACAAGCNUAUAUAUAUAUAUAUAUAUAUAUAUAUAUUGAAUUGAGCUCCUAUGCUUUUAUAAGUAUCAAGUUAUUAGUGCUUGUAAGUUUUCGGCCCUUGGAUUAAGGGAUGUACGGUUAUGAUGAUGUGGGCCCUAUAGGAUUGAGUGAUUAGUUGAUUGAAUAGUAUAAUCUAACGGGUGAAAAUGAUCAAAAGCGUAGAUCUAACGGGAAAAAAUUCACAAGCACCAAGUGCUUGGUGUUUUUACAAGCACCAUAGCCGAACUCAUAUAUAUAUAUAUAUAUAUAUAUAGAGAGAGAGAGAGAGAGAGAGAGAGUUGGACUGCGCUACUAUUAGUAGCAAAAUCUCAUUGUUGCUACCAGUUUUUUAGCCUUUGGAUCAACUCUUUUCAUUAUUUCUAAUCAUUGGAUUAAAUACUAUAACCCAGACCACUCAACCCUAGGAGGACCACUCAACUCUAACCGACUAAUAUCAUCCUGACCCUACAAUUUUUCAUCCAAGAAUUAAAAACUUGAUAGCAAAAAGAGCGUUUUACUAUUAAUAGUAUUCCAGCCUAAUUCUAUAUAUAUAUAUAUAUAUAUUCUUAUUAAU